AUUGAACGCUGGCGGCAGGCCUAACACAUGCAAGUCGAACGAGUGGCGGACGGGUGAGUAAUGUCUGUGAAACUGCCUGAUGGUGGGGGAUAACUACUGGAAACGGUAGCUAAUACCGCAUACCAUCAGAUGUGCGCAGAUGGGAUUAGCUAGGGGGUGGGGUAAGGGGUCACCCAGGCGACGAUCCCUAGCUGGUCUGAGAGGAGGACCAGCCACACUGGAACGGAGACACGGUCCAGACGCCUACGGUAGGCAGCAGUGGGGAAGAUUGCACAAGGGGCGCAAGCCUGAUGCAGCCAUGCCGAGUGUAUGAAGAAGGCCGUCGGGUUGUAAAGUACUGUCAGCGGGGAGGCGUUACCCGCAGAAGAAGCACCGGCUAACUCCGUGCCAGCAGCCGCGGUAAUAC
rnacentral:rRNA from 1 species